rnacentral:rRNA from 1 species
GCGGAGGGAUCAUUACCGAGUUUACAACUCCCAAACCCCUGUGAACAUACCACUUGUUGCCUCGGCGGAUCAGCCCGCUCCCGGUAAAACGGGACGGCCCGCCAGAGGACCCCUAAACUCUGUUUCUAUAUGUAACUUCUGAGUAAAACCAUAAAUAAAUCAAAACUUUCAACAACGGAUCUCUUGGUUCUGGCAUCGAUGAAGAACGCAGCAAAAUGCGAUAAGUAAUGUGAAUUGCAGAAUUCAGUGAAUCAUCGAAUCUUUGAACGCACAUUGCGCCCGCCAGUAUUCUGGCGGGCAUGCCUGUUCGAGCGUCAUUUCAACCCUCAAGCACAGCUUGGUGUUGGGACUCGCGUUAAUUCGCGUUCCUCAAAUUGAUUGGCGGUCACGUCGAGCUUCCAUAGCGUAGUAGUAAAACCCUCGUUACUGGUAAUCGUCGCGGCCACGCCGUUAAACCCCAACUUCUGAAUGUUGACCUCGGAUCAGGUAGGAAUACCCGCUGAACUUAAGCAUAUCAAUAA